UACGUAGGUGGCAAGCGUUGUCCGGAUUUACUGGGCGUAAAGAGCGCGCAGGCGGUCGUUCAAGUCGCGUGUGAAAGCCCCCGGUUCAACUGGGGAGGGUCACGCGAUACUGAUCGACUCGAAGGCAGGAGAGGGAAGUGGAAUUCCCGGUGUAGUGGUGAAAUGCGCAGAUAUCGGGAAGAACACCCGUGGCGAAGGCGGCUCUCUAGAACGGUACUGACGCUGAGACGCGAAAGCGUGGGGAGCGAACAGG
rnacentral:rRNA from 1 species